rnacentral:rRNA from 1 species
UACGUAGGGGGCUAGCGUUGUCCGGAUUUAUUGGGCGUAAAGAGCGUGUAGGCGGCCAGAUAGGUCUGCUGUGAAAACUCGAGGCUCAACCUCGAGCUGUCGGCGGAAACCAUUUGGCUAGAGUCCGGAAGAGGAGAGUGGAAUUCCUGGUGUAGCGGUGAAAUGCGCAGAUAUCAGGAAGAACACCUAUGGCGAAGGCAGCUCUCUGGGACGGUACCGACGCUGAGACGCGAAAGCGUGGGGAGCGAACAGG